GCCCGGCAGCAGAAGCAGGGUCCUGAGCCUGCGGUGGCAGCUCUGGAGGAAUGGAGUUAGAGUCCUGUUAAGGACAGGUGGGGACCGAUCCUCAGUCCGGACAAGGAAACAAGGACUUUACAAGGGCAAGAAGAAGGUACUGGGCUCAAUCCUCAGGCUACUGAGAUGAAAAAAAUAUGUAUCUGAAGACAGUGCCAGGACUCUGGGAAGUCAUCCUGAAGUACAAGAAGAAGGUCU
rnacentral:lncRNA from 1 species